GUAAGGAAUAUUGGUCAAUGGACGAAAGUCUGAACCAGCCAUGCCGCGUGGAGGAUGAAGGUCCUCUGGAUUGUAAACUUCUUUUAUCUGGGACGAAAAAAGGUCUUUCUAGAUCGUCUGACGGUACCAGAUGAAUAAGCACCGGCUAACUCCGUGCCAGCAGCCGCGGUAAUACGGAGGGUGCAAGCGUUAUCCGGAUUCACUGGGUUUAAAGGGUGCGUAGGUGGGUUGGUAAGUCAGUGGUGAAAUCUUCGAGCUUAACUCGGAAACUGCCAUUGAUACUAUCAGUCUUGAAUAUUGUGGAGGUUAGCGGAAUAUGUCAUGUAGCGGUGAAAUGCUUAGAUAUGACAUAGAACACCAAUUGCGAAGGCAGCUGGCUACACAUAUAUUGACACUGAGGCACGAAAGCGUGGGGAUCAAACAGGAUUAGAAACCCUAGUAGUCC
rnacentral:rRNA from 1 species